UACGUAGGGUGCGAGCGUUGUCCGGAAUUACUGGGCGUAAAGAGCUCGUAGGUGGUUUGUCACGUCGGCUGUGAAAUCCCGAGGCUCAACCUCGGAACUGCAGUCGAUACUGCUGUGGCUAGAGUCUGGUAGAGGAGAGUGGAAUUCCCGGUGUAGCGGUGAAAUGCGCAGAUAUCGGGAGGAACACCAGUGGCGAAGGCGGCUCGCUGGCUCGACACUGACGCUGAGGUGCGAAAGCGUGGGGAGCAAACAGGA
rnacentral:rRNA from 1 species